UUUUUAUGGAGAGUUUGAUCCUGGCUCAGGACGAACGCUGGCUGCGUGCUUAACACAUGCAAGUCGAACGCUGAAGCCCGCAGCUUGCUCUGGGUGGAUGAGUGGCGAACGGGUGAGUAACACGUGAGUAACCUGCCCCCGACUUCGGGAUAAGCCCGGGAAACUGGGUCUAAUACCGGAUAUGACAACCGAAGGCAUCUUUGGUUGUGGAAAGUUUUUUCGGUUGGGGAUGGGCUCGCGGCCUAUCAGUUUGUUGGUGAGGUAAUGGCUCACCAAGACGACGACGGGUAGCCGGCCUGAGAGGGCGACCGGCCACACUGGGACUGAGACACGG
rnacentral:rRNA from 1 species